rnacentral:rRNA from 1 species
AUUGAACGCUGGCGGCAGGCCUAACACAUGCAAGUCGAACGAGUGGCGGACGGGUGAGUAAUGUCUGGGAAACUGCCUGAUGGAGGGGGAUAACUACUGGAAACGGUAGCUAAUACCGCAUACCAUCGGAGGUGCCCAGAUGGGAUUAGCUAGGAGGUGGGGUAAAGGCUCACCUAGGCGACGCUCCCUAGCUGGUCUGAGAGGAUGAACAGCCACACUGGAAUUGAGCCACGGUCCAGACGCCUACGGUGGGCAGAAGUGGGGAAUAUCGCACAAUGGGCUGAAUCCUAAUGCAGCCAUGCCGCGUGUAUGAAGAAGGCCUUCGGGUUGUAAAGUACUUUCAGCCGGAAGGCGUUACCCGCAGAAGAGGGACCGGCUAACUCCGUGCCAGCCGCCGCGGUAAUUC